rnacentral:rRNA from 1 species
AUGAACGCUAGCUACAGGCUUAACACAUGCAAGUCGAGGGGAAACGACAUCGACAGCUUGCUUUUGAUGGGCGUCGACCGGCGCACGGGUGAGUAACGCGUAUCCAACCUGCCCACCACUUGGGGAUAACCUUGCGAAAGUAAGACUAAUACCCAAUGACGUCUCUAGAAGACAUCUGAAAGAGAUUAAAGAUUUAUCGGUGAUGGAUGGGGAUGCGUCUGAUUAGCUUGUUGGCGGGGUAACGGCCCACCAAGGCGACGAUCAGUAGGGGUUCUGAGAGGAAGGUCCCCCACAUUGGAACUGAGACACGGUCCAAACUCCUACGGGAGGCAGCAGUGAGGAAUAUUGGUCAAGGGACGAGAGUCUGAACCAGCCAAGUAGCGUGCAGGAUGACGGCCCUAUGGGUUGUAAACUGCUUUUAUAAGGGAAUAAAGUGAGUCUCGUGAGACUUUUUGCAUGUACCUUAUGAAUAAGGACCGGCUAAUUCCGUG